GAUGAACGCUGGCGGCGUGCCUAAUACAUGCAAGUCGAGCGAACGGACGAGAAGCUUGCUUCUCUGAUGUUAGCGGCGGACAGGUGAGUAACACGUGGAUAACCUACCUAUCAGACUGGGAUAACUUCGGGAAACAGGAGCUAUUACCGGAUAAUAUUUUAAACCGCAUGGUUCAGAAGUGUAAGACGGUCUUGCUGUCACUUAUAGAUGUAUCCGCGCUGCAUUAGCUAGUUGGUAAGGUAACGGCUUACCAAGGCAACGAUGCAUAGCCGACCUGAGAGGGUGAUCGGCCACACUGGAACUGAGACACGGUCCAGACUCCUACGGGAGGCAGCAGUAGGGAAUCUUCCGCAAUGGGCGAAAGCCUGACGGAGCAACGCCGCGUGAGUGAAGAAGGUCUUCGGAUCGUAAAGCUCUGUUAUUAGGGAAGAACAUAUGUGUAAGUAACUGUGCACAACGUGACGGUACCUAAUCAGAAAGCCACGGCUAACUACGUG
rnacentral:rRNA from 1 species